rnacentral:lncRNA from 1 species
UCCACCGGUGAAAUCUCCACCACCACCAUACUAUUACCACUCACCACCUCCUCCGGUGAAGUCUCCUCCACCACCAUACUACUAUCACUCUCCACCACCACCGGUGAAAUCUCCUCCUCCUUACUAUUAUCAUUCUCCACCUCCUCCGGUGAAAUCUCCUCCACCACCGUACUACUACCAUUCUCCACCUCCUCCAGUCAAGUCUCCACCACCACCGUACUACUAUCAUUCACCACCUCCUCCGGUGAAAUCUCCACCACCACCAUACUAUUACCACUCACCACCCCCACCUGUGAAAUCUCCUCCUCCACCAUACUACUAUCACUCACCUCCUCCUCCGGUGAAAUCUCCACCACCACCAUACUAUUACCAUUCACCACCCCCUCCAGUCAAAUCUCCUCCUCCACCAUACUACUACCACUCACCACCUCCUCCAGUGAAAUCUCCACCACCACCAUACUAUUACAACUCUCCACCACCACCGGUGAAAUCUCCUCCACCUCCAGUCUACAUCUACGCUUCUCCCCCACCUCCCACCCAUUACUAGGCUCAUCAAAUUCAACCAAAUUUCCCCAUUAUUCAAGUAAGUCCCCACGGUCCAAAACGUUCAAGUUACUCUUUAUCACCCACUUCAAUAUUACUUUGUCCUAAAAUCUCAGUUUCUUUCUUCACAGGU